UGCGGGCACUUCCGUUUUUGCAUUUAUUUUGAAAGGCACCGCGCACAACCCCAUGCUCCCGUCUUUUUCUUAAUGAGGAAAUCUAGCACACCUGUCUGUAAACCUGUCCACACGCUGCACUGUCUAAGAAGCAGCACAGCCACAUCGUAGGUGAGUCCACAAAUAAAUCGCAAGGGUUAUUAUUACUGCGGGAAUUUAUGUUUAUAUUAGUUUGGCUUGUAUUUGUGUAAAGACUGUAGUGUGGAGAGGUUGUAUUGGUCCGAUUGAAGAUAGCACGCUUGGAAAGCAGAUGGAGGUAGGAGAAAUGAAAAUGUUUAUUGUUGGUUUUGUGAAUUGUAUUUUAAUGCCACACCAUUGUUACGUUUGAAUUUUUGUAGUUUUCACGGUGUCAACUAAAGAACAAAAAAUGACUGAAAAUAAAGUUAAAGAACACCCGUCGAAGCCCUCUGCGUGUCGCAUCAUUCCGAGCGGUCAGCUACAGUGAAAACUCCUCGGCGGCGACCAGCGCAUGUUUCCCGGCUGCAACGGAUUGCCAUUUCUGUGGAGGCCCGGACGCCCUACUACCUUAAAUUCAUCGAUCGUCCAACAACAAGCCAACUAAACUAACUCCACUCCCAUCGGCAUCUUGCGCAGGGAAGAGCGCAUUCAAGGUAAUCUACGGACACAGACACAUGACACAGAGCGACAAGGAGCAAAGAGGAGGGACAUACGCACCCAAUCUGGCAGUGGAAUUGAAGAUCCAGCCAUGACAGCUCGCAUUAGAUGACGUCAAAGUAAUUUGUGGCGUAAAUCAAACAACUUUGGGGCGAUUGGUUCAAAUGUUUAUGGUAUAAUAUUACAUGACAUGUCUGUUUAUAAAAGGAAAAACGGUUGAAGCUCUAUAGCUAUUAAUGUCUAUUUAGGGAUUUCCAUUAAUGGCAUUUUUUGAUUGUCACUGUGUAUGCUGAAAUUCUAUUUGAAGGUCCAUAAGUUUUAAAUGCUUGACAAAGUGUUACUCUGUGGUGUAAAAUAACUGCAGCUUAUAAGUAUAGUUUCAAGCGUGGGACAAUAAAAGGUUUCAAGUAAAUAAGACAGUCAGAUAAAAAAAAAAAAAAAAAAAAAAAAAUUAAAAUGUCACUUCAACCCGAGAAAACAGACAAUCCCAUAGACAUGCCACUCAGGUCUAGCUCACGUGAGAGAAAAUUAACAGAAAAGGGCCAAGAGAUGCAGAAGCAAAUGGCUAAAAAACAUGCAAAAAUAUUUCAUAAAGCUUAUAACUCUUGGAAAUUGACGGCGAGGGAUGUAAGGACACAAUUAAAGACCCUCUGCUCAGCAGAAGAACUCAACAAAUCAAAGCAAGAUGUUGAAAUGAAGCACAAUGCUGUAAGAGAGCAAUAUGAACCUAUUUUAAGGAACAGUAACACCACACCUGAAAUUGUCAACAAAAUGGACGCCUGUGUUACUUUAACGAAGGAAAUAAGUAAUCUAAUAGUUAACCGCCUUGAAACUGUUGACGAAGAUUAUAAUGAUCAACUUGAGAAAGAGCGAGUCAGAGCAGCUUUAAAUAAAAAUGAAUAUGGCUCAGUUUUUGGGUACACCAUAACGGAAACUACAAGUUCAUCUGAAACAACAAGUGAUCAUUCUGGGUCAAGCAGCACUCAAAGCAGCAGAGUAGAGGCCAAAGCAGAGUUAGCCGCUAGGAUUGAACGAUCCAAGUCCAUGGAAGAAAUUCAAGCACAGCAAGCCCAUGUCCACAAACUGGAAAGUGAAUGGAAGCUUAAAGAAGCAAAAAUGAUGUCGGAAAUGAAACUAAGGGAAGUUGAAACGCAGCAGCAGCUAGAGCAGGAGAGGGCCAAACUGCAGCAGUUACAAGCAAAAAAGGAGGUCGCUAUUGCAGCAGCUCGUGUGAGAGCAUAUGAUGGUUUUGAUGGCUAUGAGAAUCGCAACGAAGGAAUCAAUGACAGAAUUAACCCUGUAUGUCACAGACGACUUAAAACUGAGCCUUCAUUGAAUCCAGGUGCAGCACCGUUUCAACCUCGCCAAGCAUCGUUUGACAAUACGACGCAAGAGGAAAGUAGCCUAGCACAAGCAAUUGCUAGUUCUUUGAGUAUGAAUCGGUUACCAGUGCCUGAACCCACCAUGUUUAGUGGCGAUCCUUUAAAAUUUACAGAUUGGAAAAUGUCGUUCAUGACUCUCAUUGACAGAAAGCCCCUCCCUGCAAGCGAAAAAAUGUUUUAUUUAAAAAAUUAUCUUAUUGGAGAGGCGCGCAGAGCUGUGGAAGGUUUCUUUUACCGAGAUUCCGAAAAUGCUUAUAACGGAGCUUGGAAAGUUCUACAAGACAGAUAUGGAAAUCCGUUUAUUGUACAAAAAGCGUUCCGUGAUAAGCUCUUAAAAUGGCCAAAGAUAAACACUAAUGACCCACGAGCACUACAAGAGUUCUCUGACUUCCUCCAAAGCUGUGUUGAAGCAAUGCCACACGUCAGUGGUCUAGCUAUUCUUAACGAUUGUGAAGAAAAUCAAAGGUUGCUCAAAAAACUACCUGAAUGGAUUGUUAGAAAGUGGAGUCGAAUUGUGGUCGAUGAACUCGACACAACAGGCAACUUUCCAGACUUCGCAUGCUUCACUGAGUUCCUAAGUAAAGAAGCGAGAAUCUCUUGUAAUCCCAUUACUUCUCAACUGUUGACAAAUUUCAGAACUAUAGAUGACAGGAACCUAAAGAGAGCUAAAGCCUUCAAUACAAACACACAACCAAGAGAUCUUGCACACGAAAGCCAAGUAGCAAUUAGCAGUAAACCCAAAUGGCCUUGUUUUGUGUGUAAAAAUGAGACACAUGUCAUCACAAAAUGUCCCACCUUUGCAGCUAAGAGCAUUGAGGAUAAAAGAGCCUUUAUACAUGAAAACAGACUCUGUUUUGGAUGCUUGAGAAAGGGUCACAUGACCAAGGAUUGUAAAAGACGACACACCUGUAGCACCUGCAAUCGACGUCACCCAACCUGUUUGCAUGAGGACCGAAGGCAAGAACUGGUGGAAGCACGAACUAGUAACUCUGCUGCCACAGAAGGACAUGAAAGUCAAGUGCCACACCAUGCUGUGUCACACAUAUCAACACAACAUACGUCUGCCACCUCAAGUAUUGUACCAGUUUUUGUGUCAUCAGUUCAAGAACCACACAGAGAAGUACUCACAUAUGCAAUGCUGGACACACAAAGUGAUUCAACAUUUGUUUUAGAAGAUGUGCUCGACAAAUUAAGUGUAAACGUCCAACCAGUAAACUUGAAACUUAGUACCAUGACCGCAAUUGACACAAUUAUACCCAGCAAGUGCGUUCAUGGUCUACAAAUACGAGGACUCAAUUCUGAGAUCCUCAUUCAAAUACAAAAAGCCUAUAGUCGUGACUUCAUCCCAGUAGACAAAUCUUAUAUUCCAACAAAGGAGACAGCAUUGCUUUGGCCUCAUCUCAAAACUUUGGCAUGCAAGAUGCCACCUCUUCAAGACUGUGAUAUAGGGCUCUUAAUCGGAUACGACUGUCCUACAGCACUGGCUCCUCGUGAAGUAAUUUUAGGUGACACAAACCAGCCGUUCGCACAACGAUCAGAACUAGGAUGGAGUAUAAUAGGUUCAUCAAACCCCCACCUAGACAGACAAGGAAGUCAUAGCUUUGUGCACCGGCUCACAGUCAAGGAGUUGCCAUGUCCAACAACGACAGAUGUUAUAAAGGCCCUUGAAGCAGACUUCAGUGAGAAAGCGUACGAGGAUAGGUACAUGUCACAAGAAGAUGUCCAGUUUAUACAGUUUCUCAGUAAAAAUAUUAAGCAAAAUCAUGACAGCCAUUAUGAGAUGCCCCUUCCUUUCAAAGGUGACAGUUUACCUAAUCUGCCAAACAACAAGAAAUUAGCUAUGGUUCGCUUACAGUGUCUCAAAAGAAAAUUGAAGGCCGAUAAACAAUAUUAUGAUCAAUACAAAACAUUCAUGGAGGAAACUAUUAACAAGGGUGAUGCAGAGCCUGCCCCUACAAAAUUCAAAGGUCAAACAGAGUGGUAUCUGCCGCAUCAUGGCGUUUAUCAUCCUAAAAAGCCAGAUAAGUUAAGAGUUGUGUUUGAUGGUUCUUCAAAAUUUCAUGGAAUUUCUUUAAACGACACACUGCUAACUGGACCUGAUCUAAUUAAUCCCUUAGUAGGAGUGCUUUGUAGAUUCAGAAAGGAAAAGGUAGCCAUUAUCUGUGACAUCGAAAGAAUGUUUUAUCAAUUUUCUGUCUCUCCGGAGUCAAGAAAUUAUUUGAAAUUCCUUUGGUGGAAAGGUGGUGAUCUGGAGAAGGAACCACAAGAGUACAGAAUGACAGUUCAUCUCUUUGGAGCCGCAUCGGCUCCGGGAUGUGCCAAUUUUGGCCUCAAGCAUCUAGCAAAACAAUACAAGGAUAAUCAUCCACGGGCAUUAACAUUUUUGGAGAAAAACCUUUAUGUCGAUGAUGGUUUAGCUAGUGUGUCAUCAGUGGAAGAAGCCAAGAAACUGAUCACCGAGUCACAAGAGUUGUGCAAAAUGGGAGGCAUGCGCCUGCAUAAGUUCAAGUCGAAUGAAGAUGUAUCUCCGUCAGAACAGUGUCUCUGUGUUCAGUGGUCAAUUAAAGAAGACGCUUCCAACUUUAACAUAUCUGCAAAGGAUCAGCCUUCCACCCGCCGUGGCUGUUUGUCCGUCAUCGCUUCUCUCUUCGAUCAACCUGGAUUCAUUGCCCCAUUCAUUCUAACAGGAAAGCGAAUCCUUCAAGAGCUUAGUCAACGCAACACUGGAUGGGACAAGCCAUUCUCAGAAGAUAUUAGACCACGGUGGGAGGAAUGGAGGAAUGAUCUUCUCAAAUUGAAACAGGUUGUGAAUCGUGCUCAAUUAAUUAGAAAUGACAAUGAUCCACAGACUUGGGAACUUUUAACACCAAACCAUCUCAUGUUGAAAGCACAAGUUUCCCUUCCUCCUCCUGGAGUAUUUGUAAAGGAAGAUUUAUAUGGGACAAAGCGGUGGAGGAGAGUCCAAUAUCUUAUUGAACAAUUGUGGAGUCGGUGGAAAAGGAAAUACUUCCUUAACAUAUGCACAAGAAAGAAAUGGCACUUACCAAAGCGCAACCUAAAUGUCAAUGAUAUUGUUAUCAUAAGGAACGAUCACCUUUCAAGAAAUCAGUGGCAAUUAGGACGAGUAGUUGAGGCAGUCCAAGAUGGCAAUGACUUAGUUCGGCGAAUCAAAGUUGGCGCACGCAAGGCGCAAGAAAUUCAGAGUUCCUCCUUUAAAAAGUCCGUUAUCGAGACACCAAUUCAAAAACUAGUUCUUCUCAUGGAGAAUUGACAGUAGUUAUACACGCACACCGUCGAGAAAUUCUGCACAAUUCAUUUUACUGUUUGUUCAUUGUAACAGAAUUUGGUGGGAGUGUAAAUGGCGUGUGGGUCUGUGAAUUGCGGGCACUUCCGUUUUUGCAUUUAUUUUGAAAGGCACCGCGCACAACCCCAUGCUCCCGUCUUUUUCUUAAUGAGGAAAUCUAGCACACCUGUCUGUAAACCUGUCCACACGCUGCACUGUCUAAGAAGCAGCACAGCCACAUCGUAGGUGAGUCCACAAAUAAAUCGCAAGGGUUAUUAUUACUGCGGGAAUUUAUGUUUAUAUUAGUUUGGCUUGUAUUUGUGUAAAGACUGUAGUGUGGAGAGGUUGUAUUGGUCCGAUUGAAGAUAGCACGCUUGGAAAGCAGAUGGAGUUUUCACGGUGUCAACUAAAGAACAAAAAAUGACUGAAAAUAAAGUUAAAGAACACCCGUCGAAGCCCUCUGCGUGUCGCAUCAUUCCGAGCGGUCAGCUACAGGUGGCAGGAACCCUGACACACUUAAUAAAACUACAAAUGUGCUGACUGCUUUACGACAUACGUCAUUUCCCCCUUUCCCCAUUCAUUAUAAAGACAGAUGUCGAUGUGAAUGCUUUUGAGCAAAGAUGGCAGAGCAACAGAAGAAACAAAAGGGGUUUGUCUGAGGAGGAAAAAGAAAUCGGUGCUACCAGGAUAUAAAGAAUAAACAUUGGCCCGGCUUUCACUCGCUAGUGUGACAACGGUGAUGAUUUCCAGUGGGGUGGGGUGAUUGG